GAACUGUGAGAGAAUAAAUUCCUGUUUGUUUUUAGCCACCAAAUUUGUGGUUAUUUGUUACAAGCAGCCCUAGGAAUCAAUACAGUGUCCAAUCAACACUAAUUGUAAACAAUGAGUAUAUGUACUAUGGCUCCUAAUAGCUGCCAUCCACUGAGAGUUGUGUUCAAGACAGCAGUUUCUGGGAGCUGCAAGUUGGCUCCUAAUUAUUCCUAACCUGUCUACCAUCAGCAACCCUGGCUAUGGCAUAAUAAAAAUAUAUUUGCUUUUGUCACCUGUUCCUGCCUGGCACAGAGCUCUAAAAAACCCUGAGAAUUUCCUGAGUGAUAAGAGUGUGUUUUGUGUGUUAAUGAGAUGACUCAGGAUGAGAGCUGGUUGCCAGAAAAACCAACGAUGGGAUUAGAGGGGCAGAACUUUCAGCCCUGCCCCUCCAUCUCUGGGCAGAGGAGGAAGGCUGGAGAUUGAGUUCGAUCACCGAUGGCUAAGGAUUUAAUCAAUCACGCCUAUGUAAUGAGACCUCCACGUAGUGAAAAACCCACAACAGAGUUCGAGAGCUACUGAACUGGUGAACACAUCAAAAUGCUGGGAGGAUGACACAACUGGAGAGGGCACGGAAUCUCUGUGCAUCCCCCACCCCCACCCCGUACCUUACGCUAUGCCUUGUGGAGAUGCAAAUAACCCAUAAUCAAUCUAAAACUCAAAAUUGGGCUGAGUUUAUUAGAUGAUCCAGUUUGAGGACCUUAUCCUGGGAGAACUUUCCCACCAAGCCAGGAAGCUCUCCGAAGAAGAGGGGUGUACAGAGCGGUUGUAUACCAUCUUGGAACAAAGAGCAUACAUCACAUGUGACAGGAAUAUCUCUUUUACUACAGUCAUGAGAUUUUGUUUUUUGUUGGGGCCCAGGGCAGGCCAUGCCAAAAUAUCCCACAAUGGCAUAUUAAUUAUUUUGAAUUAACAUUACUUGAAAAGGACAAAGGGCAUUCUGAUCCUUCUUUCUCUCUUCCCCUGAAAGCAGGAAAUAAAUCUGCCAUGUGAUAGGGCCUCUCCCUACAUCCUUAUCACCAGAGCAGGGGAAUUCAGAGCCAAGAAGUCUGCAGAAACAAACUUUGUUCAUUUACUGCCUCAAGCCCAAACUCUGCUUAAAUUUCUCACUAUUUAUGUACCCCAAACCUAAGUUUCUUUGCCUGUCAGUUUUUUACAAAUUUAGUUUCUUUGUAUAAAAGAUACAUAUAUUACCUGCUUUGUUCAUUCUCUGAGUAUCAUUUCUUUAUGAUCUCCAAUACAUGUGUAUUAAACUGAAUUUUUCUCCUGUUAAUCUGGUCUUGUGUCAAUUUUAUUACUAGUCCAGUCAUAGGAACACAAGAAGGGAACAAAGGGGAUUUUCCCCCUCCCUGAUAGUUUUGGCGAGCCAGCCAGGAGAAUCAUGGGCUAGAAAACUGCUUUCUCCCUGAGGCUGCUGCAGAUAAGAGAUCCUGGGACCUCUGACACAGAAACUGGCAAAAAGGUAAGCCUGCUUAUCAUGGCAGCCUCCCAGAUCUCUUUUUGAAAAGUCUAGCAGGAAUGGUGAGUCUCUCUUUCUCCCUCUAAAUUUAGAUUAGUGGGAGAAAAUAUUUGUGAAAGUAGUCUCUUGGACUUUAGUGACUUUGGCAUCUGGUAAUGAGUACUCUUGGUUUUGUUGAUCUUUCCUUUCAGGGAAAGUCUUUGCUUUCCUUUGACUCUCUGCCUGUCGCCUUGUUUGUCAUAAGGAAGAAGAACUAUAGGGCAGGACAGCAGGUACAGUUCCUUGACAAGCCUGCUGUUUGAGCCAGCCUCACGGACUGGUGAGUUUUAUAGUUCUCACAAGACUGGUGUCUAUUUAGACAAACUUUGCUUCAGGUUCCCUAUUUAAAAACUGGAUGAGGUUUUUGUUUCCAUCUUGUUCUGUGUCCUGAAAGCUUGGCUUUGUGGCCAAUGAAAAUAUUUUCUCUGGCCUCCACCAUCCAGAAGGUGCAUUUACCAGGGUACACCUGGCAGCCAGUCGAAAGACUAGGGUUCCAAGACUUGCAGUCACAAGCAGCACUCUUUGUCCAGCUGUACCAGCUCUCAGGGGAGUUUGUCAUAAAGGGUCCAGUCCAUAAGGGGCUUUGUCAUCUCAGCCUUGGUUGCUUGUUAGUGCUGGAAAAAUCCCAUUCCAGUAGUGCCUGCUAUGUGUCACAGACUAGUGGGUCUGUGACUGGAGGUGUCCCAUGCUCCUGUGGGAGACCAGAGACAUUGUUUUCACUACACCAUCCUUAUUGCCUGUGCAACAAAGGUCUUUGCUUUCUAGACUAUUUUCGAGAGUGAACUUUUACUAAAAAGAAAAAAAAAAAAAUUGACCCCUCAUUGCCAGACUUUUGCCAUCCUGAUGUCCUUGUAACAUGGCAUGGCAACAGUCUGCCCUAACUCAGAGAAAUUAAGAUGGGUAAACAAUGGCUGUAAAUUAAAUAAACAGUCUUGGCUAUGGGGAACGCAAGAUGGCUGCUUGGUUCUUCCUGGCUCCUUGGCAAACCCCAUUUUUCAGUUUUUACAUUCUUCCACCUACUAAAGAAAAAACUAUUUCUGUCCCUAGAGGCUUCCGAAUUCCUCUCUCUGGGUCCUUUGAACACCAGCACCUGAACUUCAUCCAAUUGCCACUCAGUAUCUAGUUGUCUAUAUGUUCUUGCUGUUGUAUGUAUGUUUUCCAGAUAGGUUGAAGCCUUCCUUUGCCACGAAGCUGAUGCCCUCACAAUGGCAAAGAAAACUGUUGGAAAAUGUUUUUCCCACUUAGGGUAUACCUUUCACAGUCUCCAGUGAUCGAGGCUUCCACUUCACUGGGCAAAUUAUACAAGCCUUCACAAAAACCUUGCAAACUUCUUGGAAUUAUUACUGUUCAUAUCACCCUCAAUCAUUAGACAAAGCCAAGAGAGCCAAUGGAAAAACUGGUCUUGUAUCAAUUUUAUUACUAGUCCAGCCAUAGGAACACAAGAAGGGAACAAAGGGGAUUUUCCCCCUCCCUGACAGUUUUGGCGAGCCAGCCAGGAGAAUCAUGGGCUAGAAAACUGCUUUCUCCCUGAGGCUGCUGCAGAUAAGAGAUCCUGGGACCUCUGACACAGAAACUGGCAAAAAGGUAAGCUAAACGAGAUUCAAUCAAAACGAGAAUUAAGUCCAUGGGACUAAAUGAACUAAUGAGGAUAAUUAUCAUUUUUAUGAAUUUUUAUCUAAAAUAUUAGUUUUUUUAAUCUUUCGUUUUUCCAGAUUUAAGGAAAUCUUUUUUUCUCUUAAGCUAUCUAUGACACAGCAAUUUGGUGAAUUAUACCUUGGUAAGCAGAAUUGAAACAGUUACUUUUACUCCCUGUCUGAUCCCUCCAGAAUUCGGAAACUCUCCAUGAGUAUUCUCAUUUUCAUGACAAUAUAUUUAUUUGCAUAUAGUCUAUAAGAAUCUGUUCUCGCUGUAACAGGACACAAUUGGAAACAUCGGUUAUAUUACCAAGGCUUUGACUGGAAUGUCAUGUUUGAGAGAGACAUACAGAAACUCAGAUAUGACUAAACAACUUUCAGGAAUUAACGAUGACUCUGUGAAGCCAAUAAAGCCCCUUGGAAAAAUAGCAGGUUACCUUACCUAGGGGCUUCCUGACAGCCUAACCAGGUGAGUAAAGAAAGUCACUUCCUGGCAGGUGCAAAGACCUUAAAAUAUGUUGGGAGCCUCAAGACAAGAGGAAUUCACCCAAAUCUAUAGGUAUUGCAGGUUGAAUAUUUGGCUUGGCUUCUUAGCCUUCAGAAGCUAUUAAAAGUUCAAUCUGGAGAUUCCUUAUAAAACGUUCCAGCAAAACAAAUUUAAAAGAGCCUAUAUGAUCAAUGGCUAUUCUUGCUGCACUUAUGUAAAUAACUAAGCCAAGUUUAUUGAAACUAGAAUUAUUUUGCAAACAAAUUAGUCUUAAUUGACUAUCUUUGAUAAAAUGAGAGUGAUUUUAGGGAGAAAAAAAUAUGUUUCAGUAGAAACUAUAAUACAUACUUAUGAAUUUUAGAUUCUAAUGCUGUUAAUUUUCCUUGAAGUUUUGUCAUUUACUAAAAACUGGACUAGAUUCUAAAUUCUUCUAAUUUCCUCAAAUAUUUGGCUAUAACUCUCUAAACUAAUGUUUCCAAUUUUUCUCCCACUUUUGACUUGGAAUCAUUAAGAACUAAAGCUGCUCUCUUUCCCUGAAGCCCUACAAACUGAAGCUGAACAACUUGAUAUAAACUUAAGAGAGAUUGCCACAAUAACCCAUGUUUAAACAACUUUCAUGCCUGUUGCUGAGUAAGCCACUCAGGUUUACCUGAGCACCCAAUGACAUCAUCAGAGACAUUUCUACCUGCAAAGGAUGCUUCAACCCUGACAUCUAGAAAUCAUAUUGACUGGCUUCCCUCUAGGCUCAAAGACUGGUUUAUAAUUUGCUCCAAUCAUUAACCAUUAUUUUUCUUUGUUUCCAUAGAAAUUCCUCUUAUUAAAUACCUGAAUUCUUGCACCUCAGGCCUAACUUUGGGAGCCAACCUGUAGCAUUGCCUUCUGAAGUAAGACAUAACUGUUUUAUUAAACUGACCUCUUUUCAACACUAAAAGAUUAAUUCAAUGAAAUAACGGAACAAUCUACCAACUCAACUUUUAAUAUAUGAAACUUCCAGGGAAAGUUUCACAGGAGGGAACAGUUGGGGCCCAGGCUGGGCCACCCCAAAAUGUCCCACAAUAGCAUAUUGAUUAUUUUGAAUGAAAGUUACUCGAGAAGCAAAAGUGUCCUGUCUCAGUUCCAUUGAAAGCAGGAAAUAAAUCUCCCAUGUGAAAGGAGCUCUCCCUGCAUCCUUCUCCCCAGAGCUGGGGAUUCAGGGCUGAGGAGCCUGCACAGGCAAACCUUGCUAAUUUACUACCUCAAGCCAAAACUCUGCUUAAUGUCCUCACUAUUUACAUACCGCCAACCUAGGUUUCUUUGUCUUGUCAAUUCUUCACAAAUUUACAAUUUCUUUGUAUAAAAGAUAUAUAUACUGCCCCCUUUGUUCACUCUCUUAGCAUCACUUUUUAUGAUCUCCAAAGUGCAUGUAUUAAACUGGGUUUUCUUUCUGUUAAUCUGGUCUUGUGUCAAUUUUAUUAGUAGUUCAGCCAUAAGAACGCACAAGGUGAGUGGUCAAGCACGUCAGUGGUCAUGAGGUAAGUUAAAGCAGGUCAGUAAUUAAUCCUUAGACUCUGGUAAGAAAUGCUUAUCCUUAAAGGAAUGCUGAUAUGGGGGAGGAAACAUACCUAUCUUUAAGGGUAUCAUUCUUGGCUCUGGGAUAUUGUAAAUGUUUCAAACAGAGGUACAAUGCAUGCUCAAUGGGCCGUGUCAGGUCUUUCUGGAAAAACAAGGUCAGGCUGAAUUAGUUUUAAACCAAAUGGCUUCCUCAUAUAUGCCAAUAUAUCCCAUUGCUUGUCAUUUACUCAUCACUCACUUCCAGUUGCCUGUUCCUGAGUUGUAUCCUUUAUAAUAAAUUGGUAAACCUAAGUGUUUUCCCAAGUUCUGUGCGUUGUUCAGCAAAUUAUCAAUCCUGAAGAGGGGGUCCUGGGAACCCCUUGGUUAUAGCUAUUCAGUCAGAAGUAUGGGUGGCCCUCUGGGACUCGCGACUGGCGCCUGAAGUGGAGGCAGUCUUGGGGGACUGAGCCCUUAACCUGUAGAGUCUGUGCUAACUCUUGGAAGCUGGUGUGAGAAUUGGAUUGAAUUGUUGGUCACCCAGUUGGUGUCAGAGAAUUGGUUGCUGGUGUUGGGAAGAAAAACCUCACACACUGACAUUUGUGGGAGUGUUUUUGUUUUUCUUUUAGUGCUUUUUACAGAAGCACUGCAUCAACUUUUCCAACAUAUAGAUAAAUUCUAGGUCCUAGUUUGGCUGGCCUUUCCUAAUUUACCACAGAAGUAUGCAUUCCUUCUUCACUUUAGUUCAUCUGCAGGCUUGGAUUCUUCUCUCAGGAAUUUGUCACUGGAGGGAAAUGCUGCUCUAUGUCCCUCCCCUGGAAAACCUGAGAGGCGGCAGUGCAAGAGUAUGUGCUUUCUAGUUGAUUGUUUCUGUGUUUUGACUUUUAAUAUUGAGGAGGGCAACUCCUGGUUAAAAACCUAUGUGUGAUUUUUUUUCAGGUGACCAGAGGCAAUUAGAAAGGCUCCACCUGGCAGCCCUCACAGGGGAAGCUGCCCCCCACAAAGCAGAUUUAGUGCACAGCCUGCGCACUGCAGUCCCUGGAGGGAGGGGCAGUCAAGGUGCCAGGCCAGUCAUGCUCUUUGCACAUUUGCAUUCCUAGCCCCUAUGCCUUCAUUCCUGGGUCUCUUUAUCUGAAGCCUUGGCCAGAGGUCCUCUUCAGGUGCCUCUGCAGAGACCUCCUUAUCUGGAGGAGGAGGAGGAAACCUUGAAGACACUUUUCCCUCUCUGACUCAGGACCCAAUCCUUUUCCACUUCUAGUCCUUCUCUCACCUUCUCUCAACUCCAGAACCCAUAAGACUGCCAGAGCUCUUGGUUUGGGGCUCCCUCAACAGGGAGGCGACCUCUACAUCUGUGCUUAUCCAUCUGACCCUCCACCAGGGGGAAACUGGGACAGGGGAAGGCAGCAUUUUCUCUGGUUUCAGACUCUUGCUUAAACCAUCACAGUAGGUGAUUAGAGGCUUAACUGUCAUUUUUGGCUUUUUGCUUUAAUCGGCUGCUCUGACAACGGACAGCUCAGCUCUCUCUCCCAGCCCAGCUGAGCUCCUGACAAGUCUCAGGCCCAAAUCACCUUAAGCCAAAGGAUAGUUAAAAAUAAAAUCAAGUAACCAUAGUUUCAUUUCAGAAAACAUAAGUGAAGUGCCUGCCGUAUUCCGGGCACUGUAUCAGGCUCUGUGACAUAGAUAUGAACAAACCAUGGUCCCUGCCUUUGAGGAGUUCAUGGUCUGAAGGGGCCUAGACGGUCAACAGUUCAUUUCAACAGAAUGAUUCAAAACUUGACAGAGACCAUGUUUCUAUACCUCAAACACCAAAUCCAGUUCCUGGAAUAAGAGGAGAUGCUCAAUGUAUGUUUACUGAAUGAACGACCAAGAACGUUCAUGUCACCAUCUCAUCCCCAUGCAGAAAGUCUCCUUGUGCUGGACGUCGAGGCAGAGACAGAUUAUAAACCUUCAGAUUCCAAAGACUUCAAGCAAAUGAGUCAUGCUGGGAUGAUCUAAGAAGGGGCAGGAGAUGGCUGCUGGAUGGCAGGAGGAGAUAUUUGAAGAGUUUGAAGUACUGUGUCUUACAGGGAGAACACAAACCCCAUGUGGAGACCCAGAACUGUAGUGGCCCUGCCUCCAGCAUGCUCUACUCUUGUCGGAACCAGAUGUGCAGAAG